GGCAAGUCUUGUUACAUAUGUGAUUCCCAAGUACGCACGAAGCACUCUAUGGUAACGAGGCUCCCACACAUUACGCCUCUAGAGAGAGACAGAGAAGAGACAGAGAGAGACAGAGGCAUGCGAUGGCGAUGGAAGAAGCAGCCAGGACAUGCGGGGCAAGCCAUCCAUGCAGCAGCCGUUCCAAAGCGGCAGAAACAGACAAACAACAGUGGUCUCCACGUCAGACAGUAUCAAGGCAACUUCGAACACACCUCUUCCGUAAUCUCCUCCAAAAGGUGUAAAGAUGCUGCCUGCCCCCACGCCAACUAACCGGGGUGGAGGGUCGUGCGAGGCACGCGUAGUAUAAAGAGGAAGUUGUUAGUCACCAUUUUUACUGUCAAUACGUAGUCAUCGCCAUGCAUUCAUGACGAUUCGUUUUGUG